rnacentral:lncRNA from 1 species
CUUGCUCAUAGAAUGUAGACCUAGUACAUCAUCCCUUUGAGCUUUCAGGUUAUUUAUAUCCAUUGACUUUUGUGAAUAAAAGUCCUUUUAGUAGUGGAUAUUGUUAUGACCCUCUAGGUCAUUUAAUCAAUUUAGGCACAUUUUUGGAAUUUUGGGCCUUCCUAUAUUGGCAAAAAUUAAUUUGUGACCUGUUGGAAUUGUCGAUUUGAUUAUCAAACAGUUUUUUUGAAUUUCAAGAUCAUUUCCCUAUCUUGGAGCAUUUUUUACUAAGAAAUUGGUCUUAGAAGAAAAUUCCUAAUAAACAAUAAUAGAUGAGAAUUUUGAUGGAGCUAUCAUAUUUAAACUAUUGAUUUUAGGCUAGGGGGACCCUUGUUUCAGGUCCUAAGACUUCUGAACUAGUUUGGACCUAUUGGGUGGAUUCUAUGAAAAAAAUUAUAGGUAUGGGCCCUACAUUUAGUAAAAAUAAUUUUGGGUGAAAUUUUUGAUGGUUCCAUUAAGUUUUGAAUGUCGAAUUUUGUAUGGUAGCAUAGUUUGUUUGUGGGUAUGGGGUUCUAAAUAAAUCUCAAGCACCCGAUUAAAGUCCAUUGGACUUAGCGAAAAAUCUAGUGCUUGAUAUCUGGUUUGACCACUUAAGCGGUCAAAGAGUCGCUUAAGUGGUAGAAGAUUUAGUGACCCUGAGCCACUUUAGCUGCCUUGACCAUUUUGCUGAGGUUCGCUUAGCGAUCAAGGAUAGAUUAAUCGAACAUCGCUUUAGCAGCCAAGAGACUGCUUUAACGAUGCCUGCAUUACAUUGUAUGACUACUUUAGUGAACUUUUACCGCAUAAGAGGACAUGUAAACGCUUUAACAGCACCUAGGCAUUGUUAAAUCCCCCUUCUUCACUUAGUUUUCCUCUCAUCUUUUCUCAAUUAUUUUUACCAUUUUUGAGAGCAUGGAGCAUGGGAAGUAUGGGCAAUCAUCGAUUGAAGCUAAGGUCAGCUAGCCCAAUAAUCGUUAGUUAUUUUCCAUUAUUUUCCCCAUCAAUUACAUCCCAUUACAAAGUAAAUUCUUAGAAAUUAGGUUUUAAAAUCCUUAGAACUUAGGGGCUGAUUUGGACCCCAAUGUAUAAGCCUUUUGUGGUAAACUUCUGAGCACCCAUUCCUUGUCCUUUAAUCGAACUCGUGACAGAUUUAAUUUUGGAUUCCGUUUAUUUGCCCUCUGAUCUUUCUUAACUCAAAUUCUGACCCGACCUUUCAUAUAGCAAUAUGGGUCUCAUUCUACUUCUAUUGAUGUGUAAAUUAUUAUUUUGAUAGUGUGAUAAUAAUUUAAGAUCAUGGAGUAAAGAUGAGUUAUUUAUGGUUGAUUCAAGGAUUUGUGGUUCAACAUCGAGGUAGGCUUUGGUUUACUUUUCUUCAUGAUAUGUGUGUAAUAUCGAUUGUAGACUAGAUGGGUAUAAUAGGACCUACUUAUGACUAGAAUAUCAUGGCUUGGCCUAAUUUAGGACAUGGUGAUAGAAGGUUAUGAGUGGUAAUUUACCACUCAUUUAUAUCUCUUUUCUUGUAUACUAUUGUGAUUAAAUUGAUGUUAUGAAGCUAAUUCUUAAAUGAAAUAUACUAAUUUCUAGUGUUUGUGGUUUAUCAAGGAAAUUUGGGAAAUAUGAACAAAGUCAAUGAUUAAAAGAAGAAAAGGAGAGAAGAGCAGACACAAAGGCUAAAGAUGCAUUCCAGGACAUGUAUCUCAGAUACUGCUAUCGCUAUAUGAGGGUUGUGAAUGUGACUGGUCCACACGGGAAAAAGAGCUAUGAUCGUAAAGUAAAAUUUGGUUGUGAUCUUGGGAUUAUGCCUACCUAAAAGUAAUGAUCAUGUGGGUUAAUCAUGGAUUAACAUGAAUCUUAGUUGUUAAGUGAGAGAUAGGUUAGGUCGAAUGUCUUUAUGGUUAGUCUUUCAACAAAACCACAAAGAUAUCACCGAUUGUCUCUUUCGAGCAUGUAACAAGUGUGUCAUUUAUAAUCACCCAAAAUCUCAAUUAAACAUCCCUAUUUCUUGGAAAA